UACGGAGGGUGCAAGCGUUAUCCGGAUUCACUGGGUUUAAAGGGUGCGUAGGUGGGCAAGUAAGUCAGUGGUGAAAUCUCCGGGCUUAACCCGGAAACUGCCAUUGAUACUAUUUGUCUUGAAUACUGUGGAGGUCAGCGGAAUAUGUCAUGUAGCGGUGAAAUGCUUAGAUAUGACAUAGAAACACCAAUUGCGAAGGCAGCUGGCUACACAAAUAUUGACACUGAGGCACGAAAGCGUGGGGAUCAAACAGGA
rnacentral:rRNA from 1 species